rnacentral:lncRNA from 1 species
UGGGCAAGUCACAGACAGUUGUAACCAACACAGCUCAGUUUUUGUUUCAGCAAAAUGAAUUCUGCUUUAACUUGUUCCUGCUUGUGGUGCAUACUACAGAAUGAAAUUAACAGGUGAGAAACUACAAUCUUCAUUCCUACAAACUUGCUCAGUCUGCAAACUCUGCACUCAUGUGCUUGAUGAAAACUGUAGAGAAAACUCAGGUUAUUUAAAAAAUUGUUUUAAAUGAGCCUUUUAAAUAUUCUUAUAUCAAGAGUAAGUAACACAUCUG